rnacentral:rRNA from 1 species
CAAUAGCGUAUAUUAAAGUUGUUGCAGUUAAAAAGCUCGUAGUUGGAUUUCUGGUGGGAGCGAUCGGUCUGGCGCUUAGCGCGAGUACUUGCAUCGUCUCCGGCCAUCCUUGGGGAGAGUCUGUCUGGCAUUAAGUUGUCGGGCAGAGGAUCCUCAUCGUUUACUGUGAAAAAAUUAGAGUGUUCAAAGCAGGCUUAUGCCGUUGAAUAUAUUAGCAUGGAAUAAUAAGAUAGGACUUUGGUACUAUUUUGUUGGUCUGCGCACCAAAGUAAUGAUUAAUAGGGACAGUUGGGGGUAUUCGUAUUCCGUUGUCAGAGGUGAAAUUCUUGGAUUUACGGAAGACGAACUACUGCGAAAGCAUUUACCAAGGAUGUUUUCAUUAA